rnacentral:misc_RNA from 1 species
CACCCGUGCCCACACACUCUCUUUAGCCUCUUCCUGGCGACUGCCUCUGGCACACAUCUGCUUUGCAUCACGGGCUGAGGUCGCCCUCGUCCAGAGAAAAAAAAGGCUCAGUGACCACUCUGUGUGCGUGUGGGUGCGUCCUCGAGUGUGUCUGCGGUCUCUCUCUUUGGUCUCCCCUCUGCUGUGUUCUCCCCCUCUUCCUCCAUACGCAGCGGCACACAACCACGCCCCGUGUGCAUCGUGCCGGCUAGCUGGGUUUCAUUCAUCGAUCACUGCUGCUGGUCCUGUCCGGGUCUCGCUCUUUUCUUUUCUUUCGACCUCUCUCUUUCGAGCUGGAUCUGGCGGUGGUGUCUGGGCCGGCGUGUGCGUGCGUGUCUGCCUGUGGCUUUCUCGGUCUCGGUGCACCGAGGAGGACUGAGCGUUGUGCGCUUCUCGUCUCUUGCACACUUUUGUGUGCACCCCCUCCCCCCGGCCCAACAUACGUCCUUCUCCACACACCACCGUAUCCACCAUGUCCUUCAGCGGCAGGAGGACGGAUGAGACCGUGGUGGCCGAUAGCGAAAAGUCGCCGUUGAGGAGGCAAGCAAAGACUGCGACGACAGUACCAUCACCGGUGGCUGCCGCUGCCGCUGCCGCUGGCGUCACCGGCUCGUCCUACCCUACAGCGGCGCCCGUGCCGGCAGCAGGCGGUGCUCCGACCACCUACAGCGCGGCACAACUCGCGGAGGAGUACCAAAAACUGCUGGAUGUGGUCGGCACCCCGAACUACGAGACGAUCCAGCGCCUUUUUUCGGGCGACGCCACUCCCCCGGCCAGCACCGUCCCCAUGAUCCAGGUCUCCUUCGAACUCUUCGAGGCCGUGCAGAACCGCUUCGCCGCCACGAAGCAGGCGCUGGAGCGUACCAAGGCCGACCUUCUUACCCGCAACCAGCACUACUCUCUCCUUCACCAAGAUAUGCUGCGGCUCAAGGAUGAGUACGCGGUGCUCCAGAAUCGGAACAAAGAGGCGGAGGAGCGCAACACGCAGCUGCACCAGCAGCGGGCGAAGCUGGAGGUAGCCGUGGAGCAGCUUGGGCGGGAGGUGGGCCAGGGCCGCACAGCACUCGACACACUGCGCGGCAAGCUUCUGCGCAGGGAGGAAGAGCUGCAACUCAGUCAGAGCCGCGUCGCAGAGAGCCUUGUCACCCUCUCGCAGAAGGAGGCUGUCAUUGGCACGCUGAGGCGCGAACUGGGCAAGUGUGGGCAGCUCCGCUACGGGCCCACGGCUGGGCAAAGGGAUGGCUUUCGCGAAGGCGAGGAGGACGCGCUGCAGGAUGGUGGCGACGGCGCAAACUCGCAUGCGUACACGGCGGACAUGCUUGGCCGCAUCGCCGCCGACGUCGAGGGGCGCUCACAGGAGGCGCGUAUGAAACUGAACAUGGCGGACCUCGAGGGCCGCUUGUCGCGCCUCAGCGAGGAGAAGGACUCUGUUCUUGCUCAGCACGCGCAGUACCGGCAGCACGUGCAGCUCGCCUUGCAGACCUAUGAGGCUGAGGCGAUGCUGCGCGAGGACACCCUGGCGCGACACGCAUGCGUGUAUACCCCAUACUUCGCCGGCGAACAGGAGAAGCUCUAUGCCAAACUGGUCAACCUCCAGACCGGGGAGGAUCUGACGACAGAUCAGCGAGGCGACGAUGACGAAAUGGGCGUGGCUGCCGGGGCUGAGGCGCCACCACCACUGCGGUCCUUUGGCGCCCUCACCUUGGAGAUCCGUCGCGCGAUGGACCGCCUGUCGCGGACGCACAUCGAUGCUGCCAGUCGGCAGCAGCAGGAGCUCUCACUUUGCGUGGACGCGCAGUGCAUGCUGCUGCAAGCGAGCGCUGAGCUGGUCGGGUUCCUCAGCGCUAUGGAGGACGAGGUGCUGCGACGCCGCUUGACGCUGCCGGAGGUGCGCGAGGAGUGGCACAAGGCCAGGAUACCAGAAUUUGCACAAGGCAUCGCGCAGUCGCUGCAGGAGGGCGCGAGUCGAUUCGGCAGAGGCCUGGUGGGCCUGCUUCAGCAGGAGAACAGCUUCGUAGAAGAGUUGCAGCAGGCGAGGGCACUCCAACAGCAGCAACAGCGGGUGCCCGCAGCAGGCAGGGACAUCUCUGCUGUAGCCGCCGCUGCGUCAGCGGCCGACGGCAAAGGCCAGCGGCUGCAGCGCGGAAGCCUACCUGAUGAUACGUCGUUGCAGGACCGUUCUGGCUCAGCUCUGGCUUCCAGAUUAGGAGGCCGUGGCUCAUAUUCUUCGAAACAGCGGUCAGGGGAGGCGGAAUGGCGAAAAGGAUCUCUCAUGGGUGCUGGCGCGGCCAGGGUGCCGCCCGCCUCGGCGUCCACGGGGAAUGGGCAGGGCGGCGGCAAGGCAGAGGGGGAGCACGUGACGGCAUCUACUACGUCGAACAGGUCGUCUAUCACGUCCGGCGCGCAGAGGCCGCUGGCAUCUGCAGAGUCCUCCUUGGUUGGACCGACAGACGGCGCCGCAGGGCGUGCAGCUGCGCCCACUUCGCGACACACGAAGAUCGGAGGCCCUUUCGACAUGUCUGAGGCCCAAGAGAGUAGUGCCACUGGUGCCGCUAACAUGAGAGGGUCGCCAGAGAGCCAAUGGCAGUCCACACCCAACGCGCAGACUCGCGGCGGCACCAACGAUGGGAAGGAUGCUGCAGCGAGUGCGGGUCAGUCUAUGCAAUACAUCCCAACUUAUCCCGCUACUCCGCCUGCUGCCAUCCCUGCUACCACAUCAAACACGGAUCAGCGUAACCAUGCGAGUAGCUGCGCAGCAGUGGCCGAACAGGUGGCGGGCGAAUUGGCUUCGCUGCCUCUCAUGCCCAGUGUGGUAGUGUGCCCGCACUGUGCGCAUGAUGUGCUUGUCCACGCUGCCACUGGUGAUUCGCUGCCAAUGCCUGCGGAUGGCAGCGACGGAGGCAGUGCACGGGGCUUACUUUCAGUGCCCGACACCGCUGCCUGCGCAUCACCCGAGACUAGCAAUAGCACGUCCUCGGCAUUGACCUCACCUGCAGGUGGUCGAGCAGUGCUUCGUGCCAAGUCAAGUGAAUGGACCCGUGCGGCGCCGGGUAGCGGAGCGGCCGAGACAACUGAUACGCAGCGCGAUGGUACUCGGCUCACCAACUCGUCCACCGCGGUUACCAAGUCGAAGGAUAAGAAGAAGCCCGGCAGCACUAGCGGCACGACCGGGGCGAGCAGCAAGAGGCCCAAGAAGGAACCUUCCACUGGAAGCCGCGGCGCCUCCUCGUCACCAGUAUCAUCCCGGACAACUUCCGCAGGUCACUCACGGGCACACGGCACCAGGACUUGGAGCAAGCGCUCGAUGUCUGUGAGCACAUCGCAUGCGCUCACGCAUGAUGAGCAGAGGCUCGGCAUGAACAGUCCCAGCUUUUACAUUGCUUCGAACACCUCUCAGGCAGUCUCGCACUCGCGUCGCUCGGAGGACAACGAUGGCGCCGCACUGCCGGCGGCUGCUGACGUCUCUGCCGCUGAGCUUGCAUUGGCAUUGUCUGAUUGCCAAGACCGCCUCGCACACGCGACGCAGGAGCUUCAGGACAUGCAGUUGGCGAAUGCCGCGCUGCAGGCCCAACUGACCGCUGCCCUUGCCGCUGCGGCGGCCACCGCACCAGCACUGGGGCCGUCGAUGCCUGCUGACCCCGACAGCACCACAACGCCUAACAGCAGCGCAGGUGCUACGGGCCCCGCUGCAGGGUCGGCGGCGACACAGAAGGCGGCCGGAGGUCAGCAGACGACGCCGCACUCGCCGGUAUCCCCGGGCAAGAAGGUACAUGAACACGGCAAGCCGACGACGACGAUCUUUCAGACAGCAUCAAACAGUCCCCACUCGGGUCCCGGCGGCGCCGAGGAAGCUGCGUACGCGCCCGGCGAGGUUGUGGAGAUCGACCAGGUCGCCACCUCCGUCGAAGGCAAGCCGCACCACCGCAGCGGCUCUGCUUCACCGACGACGCAACACCAAUCCACGCUUGCGGGUGUGCACAGGGGUGGGGCUGCGGACAGCGACGGCUUCGCCAGAGUCUCCACUGCUGGUGCAGCGUCUGGCGGCAAAGAAGGCCUCGCUGACGAGAGCGGCGGUGCUGUCCCGAACCACUACACGCACGGCUUGCCAUCAACGGCGUCCUCACCAACAUCCACCUCCUUCCCAGGCCGUUACUCCGGCACUGCGCGCCCCGUCGCUCACACGGUCGAGGAACCGGGCACCACUGACAACACUUUGAUGCCCGGCAUCGCUGCAGCCAGAGGAUCUCAGUCGACGACAGAGUUGCAGCAGUCCUCCGGCACCGCUGCAAGGGUGAAGCGCGACCCCGCUGCGGAUGCGGAGGCGAUAGACGACGGUGCAGAGCAGAGCCGCGGCGGCAGCACAGCCGGCGGGGCCGCUUCCAUUCACAACAGCAACACCAACGCGUUUCGCCACGAACAGCCAUCGCCGUUCGUGUCACCUCCGCCGCAUCGGCACUACUCAAAGCGGGCCGGUGGCGGUCUCGCGGCCGCAUCCGCUACGCAGUCGCAGCACGGCAACACAUCGACACUGAAGCCGGUGUGGUGCUCCGCGUACCUGCCCGUGCUGAACCGUCGCCUUCAUGCACUGACAGGGGCCACAGCCUCGAGCACAGGCGCGACCGGCUCCGCCGCUCUGCACCGCGGCAUCGCCUCUGCGGUAUCCAUUCCUCACAAGACGCAGACACUGGGACUGGUGAUCACCAACUCGCGCGUCACCGGCGCCGCUGCGAUUCAGCCGGAAAGGGUCCACCCUGGCGCGCAUGUCAGCAGCGCCGCGAAAGGCAAGGGCUACAAUCACGCAAACAGCGCCGGAGACCACACUGUCGCCUUCAAGCUGCGCUCCGCGUCACCGCACUCACUCACGAGAGGACUUCGCAAGUGUGCCUUGCCAUCACUGCCACCACUCUCCUCCUCCCAGGUGCCGUUGCAGCAGCACUUGUGGAACACCCACGCGUCGUCUUCUAAAAGCGGGCACCCGCCGACGUCGAGCCCCAGCCGCUCCUCUCCUGUGCCCAUUUCGGCUCUACCCACUGCCGUGGAGGCUGGAGCCGAAUACCCGCACCAAACCCUCACCACCGUCGCCGCUACUACUUCUGCUCCUGCAUCCUGGCUGUCUGUGUUAGGGUCGAACAUUGUCUCCCCGAGCCCGCCCAACGUCUCUCCCUCGACGAUGCCGCAGCAUUCAGUGUCCGCGUGGAUGCCCAGUCCUAUCUCGCCUGCGGCCGCCACCGCCGUCGCUGCUACAAUCAAUAUUGGGAGCGAUGGGCCCGCGCAGUUGCCUACGAACGCCACUUACCCGCCUGCGGCGACAACGGCGCUGAGCAAGCAUCAGCAACUAAAGAUCGCCUAUCAGCAGCUGCGCCUCUGCCUCGGUCAAGGCGUCUCGCCGCUGUACAGUGGCCGCGGCGGCGCUCAGCAGCCGUUUGCGGCGGUGGGGGCCGUGAGUGAUGUUCAGGUUGCCGGGUGGCCGCGCGGGGGCGCGUGGUACGCGAAACGAAACACCGGCACUAGAGGCAGACUGCGCCAAGUGAUGUCAAGACCGGUGCACGGCACUUGGGUGCGUGGCCACUUGUACGAGACACCCUUCUUAGCAUCACCUGCCAGCGUGCCGCUGAGUGACACAAACACGGCCUUCGGCAUUAUUGUGGGAGGGCACAGUGUUAACUCCCACCUCAGUUCUCCCUAUACCGCCUCAGGGCAUCUGGCGGCACGCACAUGGCAUGAUGCGUCGGCUCAGUUUCUACCGUCCAUUAGCGGCGCCUCGAUCCCACAGGCGCUCGCGUACUUGGCAACGCCGGCUGAGACACAGCGCCAGUGGUCGUCGAAACGGUUCGGGCGGAGCAGGUAUGGCCCCUUCUCCCUCCCCGCAUCAAGCACAACGGACACGAUGGCGCGUCGUUUGUGUCAGCGCACGCUUCGAACGUGGCAACAACAGAAACAGUGGCACCUCCGUCAGUCGCGCGACGCUGCCGCCGCCGGCAAGCUUGGCCGCGUUCCGUGUGCACCCGCCACGGAACGGGUGGCGGGCUCAGCGGAAGGCUUAAACGUGCAGCAGCUGCCACUCACGCUUGCCCAGCGGUGUGCUGCGCAGCUGUCCCAGUUCCAGUUUGCCGUGCCCUCUGCGACCACCAUUCAGCCGGUCUCCGCUGCGAGGCAGCUAGCGGCCUCCGACUUCGUGUCGCCUUUUCUGCACACACGCAGGCAGCGCCGCAACGCUUGCUCAGUGCCGCACCUGGCGAAGCGGGAUCCGAUGCAGCGGGCCGUGAAGCGCACAGUGUACACAGUGAGCGUGGCCAGUUCUCGGUCGAGCCUGUCUGAUGCUUUAAAUAGUACUCUUCCCCAGGAGGCGCUCGCGCCGUUGCUGCCAUCCUAUCACUAGCAGUGGACGCCUCAGCGGCACCCGGACAUCCUCCACAGAUGCAGGCCCCGCGGGUCAUCACAGGGAGACGGAGGGCACUGGCGAGGCUUGAGCGGUGCCGCGGUGAGCGCACUCUGACGCAGACGUUUUCAGCUCCGCAAUCCUCCUUUCUCGAUGACGUUAUGGCGCCUCUCCUGAAGCGCACAUCUGUGGGGGGAGGGGUGCACGUGUGUCUGCACCUCUGCGUGCGCCUCCCUCUUGAUGUACACUAGCUACGCGCGUGGCGUUCGUCGAUCAUGACGGGCUCGAUCUCCUCAUUUUUUUUUUCGUCUACUCGCGUGCGUUGUCCCAUGCCUCUCUCCUUUUUGCGUUCACGUUUCGACCGUCGACCUCUGCUCUUUCAUCUUGUUUGGCGCACGCUCCUGAAGCUUAGCUCGCAUUCUCAGCCUCAGCAUCCGCCACCCUCACCCUCCUGGUACCCGCCGCACACGACGACUCUCUGCCCUUUCCCCCCUCCUCCCCCUUUCCUUUCACCCCCCUUGCGCUUCCUCCUCGCCUCGUCUGCUUCGCUUGGAGAUCGUGCGUCUUUGAUGUACAGCGAACACAGACAUGUCGUUGGGGAUGUCGUGCCGACUCGUUCUGUUUCCAUUUCUCGCUCUUGGCGCCCGCCGUUGUCCACCCUGUUUACUCUCUUGUUUUCGCGCCACGGGCGUCAAGCGUAUUGCGCUCUCGCUAGCUCUUCUCCUCUGCGGGCAUGUACAUCAUCGCGUGCCACGCUGCUUCGUGCGCGCAUACGUCCUUCAUGCACGUUGCCAUUGCUGCUGUGGUGGCUGCCAGACUUUGCCAUCUCUGGAACGCAUAGCCUUCUCACGGGCGCAUGUUUGUCUUUAAUGUUUUCUGGAACAGUGCAACGCACUCGCGCCAACGGUAUGACACUCCCCUCACACCUGUCUGCAGAGUACUGCGCCCACACCCUUCCCAUGCCCAGAGGGCACCACAUACCAACGCUGCUUGGAUGGCGAUAAAGGUUCAGUGUUGGUGGCUGGGCGGGGGGAUGGCCGUGCUGCUUCGGCUCCACCGCGCCCCUUUUCUGCCCCGCCACCCGCACACGCGUCUGCGCGCAGCACAGACGGAGGUGAGCGAGAAGAGCACAAACAACGCGGCGCACGU